rnacentral:rRNA from 1 species
CAGUAGCCGCGGGAAUACGGAGGGGGCUAGCGUUGUUCGGAAUUACUGGGCGUAAAGCGCGCGUAGGCGGCUUGGUAAGUUAGAGGUGAAAGCCCGGAGCUCAACUCCGGAAUUGCCUUUAAGACUGCCGAGCUAGCAGGUGAGAGAGGUAAGUGGAAUUCCGAGUGUAGAGGUGAAAUUCGUAGAUAUUCGGAAGAACACCAGUGGCGAAGGCGGCUUACUGGCUCAUACUGGACGCUGAGGUGCGAAAGCGUGGGGAGCAAACAGGAUUAGAUACCCGUGUAGUCCCUGUCUCUUAUAC